AUCUUCUGGUUAUGAAAGCAAAGAGGAAACAGAACUAGAAAAGUCAGAUGAUUCCACUGGGGUAAAGCAAAUACACUUUCUUGCUCUACACUCACUAGAGUGUCAUGGGUUUUCAGUUUCAAGCUCAAUUUAACUGAACAUUUUGGGCUCUAAGUUUCAUUUACUCAAGGCCAAACAAAACUUCCUCAUGGCAAAAAAAAAAAAGAAAGAAAAAGAAAAGAAAAAAGAAAGAAAUCAUAAAAGGAAAAAAAAUCUGAGGGAGGAAAGAAUGUCUACACAAAGAUUUCUGAACGGUAAUGUCUCUAACAGAACAAUAUCUUCAUGCAACAUGUGAAUAUAAAACAUAUGGGAUUAAUUAGAAUUGAAAAUGGGUUUCUAAAACUCUUUGGCCUAAAACUGUCCACUGAGCCUAUAAAAGGGCCACUACUCUACAUUAAAACUAACUCUUCUCCGAUCUCAUUUUUCUCUCAUUCUUUUCAUGUUACUAAUCUAUGAACAUCUGCCAAAACAGUGCCAGUCUCAGCAUUUAUUAAUCCUUAAUACCUUAUCUGGGAGUGGGACCACUUACCAAUUUGAAUUCUCUCAAAAUAAAAAUGAUCAAGUUGUCCCAAAGAAGAGGAAGAAGGAAUAGAAUGAGAGGCUAAUCUAGCCAUAACAACUCACAAAGGUUUAGUUCAGGAGGUUAAAAUCCAAACGCAGGUAACUGAAGGCAAAGAAGCAAACACAGCGAGCCCAGUUCUUCCCAACGUGUUGACACAAAGCUCCCAUUGACUUACCUGAAGGGCUCUGAAGAGGGCCCAAGGUUUAAUGCAUACGUUGGUUGGUAUGGUUGGUAUGCAUUAACUACCCAUUCCUAAGCACACGGUCAAAAACAUUCAAGUAUUUGCGACAUGGUCCUCUCUAGUUGUUGACCUGAAUUUUAGGUUAACAAGGAGUCGAAAUGAACAAGAGAACAAAGAGCAAACCUUAAUUAUUAAGUGGCUUUCCUUUUAAUGGUAAGCAAAGCAUCUUAAGAUUCUGGUGAACAGCUUAUAUCUCUUCCAAUGUCUCCUCUUCCUCACCCAUGUUCCCCAUCGUCUAUGUCCCCUGGCCUGUUCAACAAAAACUAUGAGACAGCUGGGGAAGAAGCAAAGAAUUCUGUUAAGUCCAAAUGGUAUGUGCCAAGUGUCAGGAUCAAAAGGCCUCAGAGCUUGGGCAACAGUCUGUAUCUUGCCAGGGUUAAUUGGCUAAUAGGGACCCAAUUGUUUCCAGCUAUCAAUGCACUACACAAAAUGCACAGUACUGCCUUCAGGUAUUAGAUGAAAACCCCAUAGGAGUAAGAUGUAAUCUGGAAGCUUAAAAUGAGUUUCGAAAAAGAGGGAAACCAACUUCACUAUAAAGGAAAAACGAACAAACAAACAAUCAAGCAUGAAUACGAAAAAGACUGGAUGGCAAGUCCAUAAACAUAAUGAAAUUGAGGAACGUCAAAGGGAGAAAGAUAAAGAUGGGUGUGAAAAAAACAGAAAAAAAGUGAUGUUUUGAAGCUUAACGGAAAUUUUAAAAGAAGAUCCUGGUUUUUCAGAGGGCUUUUAUUUAUUAACGUUGUUAUGUUUAGCUUUGGCAAAACAUAUGGAAAGGGUUUAACCACCAUGCCUGCAACUCAAGAUAUGGUGUCUCAACCCUGUGAAAUGCCAAAAGUACAGACAGUAUAGAUCUCUGCAUUUUUUGUUGUUUUUUUUUUUUUAUUUAUGUUAACUGAUUCCUCCUCAUUCUCAACCUAUUCAACAAAGACAUAAUCCUUUUCAUUUUCUGCAGCUGAGCCCCUUGAUAUGAUCAGCUUUAAGUUUUCAGUAGAAAAUAUUCAGCAGAGCUUAAAGAUUACAAGGUGAUUAUGCAAACCGAGAAAAAUAACUUACCAGGCAACAAUGAUAAAAGUUUCACAAUGACACACUUUCUGAGAUUAUCAUCUAUUGGAACUGCUAUAAAAAGAUUUUAAAGCGUCUCCAAUCUCAAGGUUAAAAACAAUAUUGGCAACUAAUCUGGAGACAGGAGAUUUAUUGCCUGGUUCUCUUGCAGAGAGGCUUCCAGACCACUUAAACUCCCUUUUCAGCUCAUCUUGGAACAUUCACAACCUCCUUUGGCUGCUACCAGAAGGAUAAUUUAUAAGUCAGUGGUUCUCAAACUGUGGUCACAGGACUAAAGGCAUUAGCCUCACCUGGGAACUUACAAAUUUAGAUUUUCACAUCCAUCCCUCCUCCUCUGAAUCAGAGACCUUGGAGUUGUCGCCCAGUUGUCUCUGUUUACCAAGCCUUCUAAGUGAUUGUAAUAUACACUCAAGUUUGGGAACCAUUGAUUUCAACAGAGAAUAUGAAAACUUCACAGCCUAGGUAAUAAGACCAAAGCAAAAUGGAAACUAAAAGUAUAUGAAUUAAGAAAAACAGAAAGAUAAAAAUGAAAAAAAAAAAAGAAGCAGCUGUGAGAGAACAGAAAGAGAUUUACAUUUUACAAAAAAAGGAAAAGUAUAUCAAAUGCCUUGUUUUCAUUUCUAUGACCUCGGUACCUUAGGUUAUUUAGCCAGUUUUGAAGAAAUAAGACUCAUUUUUUCUUAGAGACCAAAUAAUAUAUUUUUUUUUCAGUUAACACAAUCUGAAUAACAUUGAUUUCAGAUUGCAAUGAUCAGAGAUGUUAUUUUUAAAUCAAUUUCUGUGAAUAAGAACUCUUCUGUUAUUUGACUAUAUCUGUGAACCAACUUGUUUAAAGUAAUAUCCAUAUCCUGUGUUCAUAGAAAAUAUAUAUAAAUAUCAAGGAAUCUUUAGUCUGGUAAGAAUAGUCUGGAGAGAGCUGGGCUUCUCUACCACUACAGAGCUUUAAACUGUGUUAGAAAGCUUUUCUCCAGGCUUAGUAUUUAUUUACUUAUGAAGAAUAUGCAUAGUAAGAGCAGAGGUAGGUCACUCCGAAUUUUACCUAAAAAUCUAGCACUCCAAAGGUAUCCUGUCAUAUAUGAUGCUACCAACAAGCCAGCUAGGUUUCAUUGUAAAUAGUGGCAGUAACUAUUUACUCACAGACCCAGAGUCCCCAGAUAACCCAGUAUGCCUCAUCACCAUUGGAUUUAAUUCCUGAUUCAUGCACUGCCCAGCAAUCUUCUCAUUAUUCAUUCAGUAGACUAUUCAGAGAGCAGUUCUCUGCUUCAUUCAAUUAGUCUGGAAGGUUAAGUAUAUACAGGUAAACAAGAUAUGGCAGCCAAGGCUCAAAUGUGUCUAGUCUUGUGAUAAAGCCCAUGGUUCAUACCACUGUCCAUGUCCCUGCCUUCAUCUCACUAGAGAGGAAAUCAUUUUGUGGUGCAGUUCUGAUCCCUUCACUUUAGGGUAUCGUCCGGCACAAAUCUGAGAAGCUACAUGGGCUGAAGCACAGAAAGAUGGUAGCCAGAUGGGCUUUAGGUUGGCUAUCUUUACUUUUGAAAAGCCUUCUCUUAUCCCGUAAAUCUGCAUCAAUGAUAUCUCUACAUGGUCCCCUAGGGACCCUUCUGCACACUGUAAUCUAUUAGCCCAAUUCACUAGCCAACCAACUAAACUCUAAGUUCUCUAGUACCAAGUUGUGUUUGUCAUGUUGUAGUUAUAAGUGGCCCUAAUAGCAAGAUCCUUCCUUACAUAAUUAUUUAAGUGAAUAGGUGGAUAAAAAUACAAAUGCAUAGUAAGCUGCACCGUGGAUGAGAAAGCUUCUUUAACGUUAGGCUCACUGAGGCCACUGAACUUGAUAGUAAAUUUCCAAACUGUUUUCCUGAGUGGCUGUAUCACUUGACAUAAUCAUCAGCAUUGUAUGAUAUUUCCAGUUGCUCCACAUCAACACCAGCACUUAGUAUUUUCAUUAUUGA
rnacentral:lncRNA from 1 species